CAGUCGCCGCGGUAAUACGGAGGGAGCUAGCGUUGUUCGGAAUUACUGGGCGUAAAGCGCACGUAGGCGGUUAUUCAAGUCAGAGGUGAAAGCCCGGGACUCAACCCCGGAACUGCCUUUGAAACUAGAUGACUGGAAUCUUUGAGAGGUCAGUGGAAUUCCGCGUGUAGAGGUGAAAUUCGUAGAUAUUCGGAAGAACACCAGUGGCGAAGGCGACUGACUGGACAAGUAUUGACGCUGAGGUGCGAAAGCGUGGGGAGCAAACAGGAUUAGAUACCCCUGUAGUCCCUGUCUCUUAUAA
rnacentral:rRNA from 1 species